GACGAACGCUGGCGGCGUGCUUAACACAUGCAAGUCGAACGAAGUGGCGAACGGGUGAGUAACGCGUAAUCAACCUGCCCUUCAGAGGGGGACAACAGUUGGAAACGGCUGCUAAUACCGCAUACUGAAGGAGUGGAUUGCGUCUGAUUAGCUAGUUGGAGGGGUAACGGCCCACCAAGGCGAUGAUCAGUAGCCGGGCUGAGAGGAGGAACGGCCACAUUGGGACUGAGAAACGGGCCAGACUCCUACGGGAGGCAGCAGGGGGGAAUCUUCCGCAAUGGGCGAAAGUCUGACGGAGCAACGCCGCGUGAGUGAUGACGGCCUUCGGGUUUUAAAGCUCUGUUAAUCGGGACGCGGUACCGGAAUAGAAAGCCACGGCUAACUACGUGCCAGCAGCCGCGGUAAUAC
rnacentral:rRNA from 1 species